GACGAACGCUGGCGGCGUGCCUAAUACAUGCAAGUCGAACGCAGUGGGGACGGGUGAGUAACCCGUGGGUAACCUCCCAUCAGAGGGGAUAACACUUGGAAACAGGUGCUAAACCGAUACUGAUGGAUGGACCCGCGGUGCAUUAGCUAGUUGGUGAGGUAACGGCGCACCAAGGCCACGAUGCAUAGCCGGCCUGAGAGGAUGAUCGGCCACACGGGGACUGAGACACGGCCCAGACUCCUACGGGAGGCAGCAGUAGGGAAUCUUCGGCAAUGGACGAAAGCCUGACCGAGCAAUGCCGCGUGUGUGAAGAAGGUCUUCGGAUCGUAAAGCACUUUUAGUAGAGAGGCGGUACCUAACGAAAAAGCCACGGCUAACUACGUGCCAGCAGCCGCGGUAAUAC
rnacentral:rRNA from 1 species